rnacentral:misc_RNA from 1 species
UGCUACGCGUCGUGCACCUGCUCCGACAUCUUUCCCUUUCCCCUUGUUUGCGUGUGCACUGCUUUACUGGGGUUUUAUGUCCCCCCCCCUCCUCCCUCUCCUCUUGCUGCAGCUCUCUCUUGUGCAUCUCAAUCACUCGCUGCGCCGGCAGCAUCCCAUAAAGAGCGCGCGCGAUAAGGAAUCCACUAAGCUCGGCAGCAGAGUCUCAGUUGAUUGUCUUGCUAGCGCUCUCCCUUCUCCACCUCUGUUGCAUCUACCACAUCGCUGUCCGACUUCUCUUUUACUUUUUUGGGGGGGAAGGUUUCACCGCAGCGGCCGUUGCUGCUUGGCACUCCAGUUGGCUACGGUGUGUCUGUGCGGGUGUCUAUUGGCGUACGGUUAUUCUUGUCAAUAGUGCGUGUGCUCGUGCGUUCUGCCGUCUUUGACUGCACCGCAUCGCGCUCGUUAAAAGGGGAAAAAGAUAGCCUCCGUUUCCGUGCACACGUCUUCCGAACUGCUUCUCCCUUCGCCUUUCAUGAAUUCUUCAUCCUCGCCUAUGCCACCUGCUCCACCGCCGGCGCUUCUUCCGAUCGAGGAGCCACCGAUCGGCACGCAGCCUGCGGCCCACUUGGCCUCUGGCACCACCUCCCAAAACACGUCUUCCAAUCCUACUGGUGGCACGGUUGUGUGUGACAACUGCAAGACGCGCGGCCAUCUCCGCCGCAACUGCCCCAAGAUCAAGUGCAAUCUGUGUAAGCGGCUGGGCCACUACCGGCGCGACUGCCCCCAAGACGCUUCCAAGCGAGUGCGCUCGGUCGAGGGUGCACCGCACGAGGAGGUCAACCUCGAUGAGGAGUACCGCUGGUCCGUCUGCCGCCAUUGCGGCUCGUCACGCCACAUCCAGGCCAAUUGCCCCGUGCGCUACCAGGCUCUGGAGUGCUACCAGUGCCACCAACUCGGCCACAUGAUGACGACCUGCCCGCAGACGCGCUGCUACAACUGCGGUACCUUCGGACACAGCUCCCAAAUCUGCCACAGCAAGCCGCACUGCUUCCACUGCUCACACUCGGGGCACCGCUCAUCGGAGUGCCCCAUGCGCUCCAAGGGGCGUGUGUGCUACCAGUGCAAUGAGCCGGGCCACGAGGCCGCGAACUGCCCGCAGGGUCAGCUGUGCCGGAUGUGUCAUCGCCCCGGUCACUUCGUUGCACAUUGCCCCGAGGUGGUGUGCAACCUUUGCCAUGUGAAGGGCCACACCGCUGGCGUAUGCGACAACGUGCACUGCGACAACUGCGGCCGCAAUCACGAGACGGUGCACUGCCACCAGCCGUACAUGGCGCCUGUGACGCACGACCGCGUCUCGGAGGAGCGUUCCGCCUCUCUGCCUAGCGAGCACGACUCGGGCAGUGCUGAGCAGUCGAACAAUUCGGCUACGCCGCGCGAUUCGGACGAUGGCGCGAGCAAUCGCGGUGGCGAGCCUCGUCCCCGCGCGGCCGUCUCGUGCGCGCCUGUUGUGCCCCCUUACAUUCCUCUGGACGGGCCAAAGAGGGACGGGCGAGUGGCAAUCGUCGUGGACGGGUCCUACUUUGAGCGCUGCGUCGCGGUUCGUCGCAACCGCAGCGAUCCUGCCUACUACCGGCACAUCACCGACGCUCUGCUCUACACCAUCGACUACAUCGGCGACAUCUUCCAGCGCGAGCCUUUCGCGUUCUGGUUCGACACGGACACCGCCGCCUUCACAGAGUUCGUGGAGAUGUCCAUGCCGCUGGCUCACCGCGAAAACGCGUUCCGCGAGGCCUCCAUGCGGAAGCGCUACCUGACGGACGAGAUGAACAGCGGCCGUUCCCUGCCGAACGUUGUUGCGAAGUUGGUGGGGGGCAUGAAGCGCCAGCGCGGGUUCACGGAAGACGGGCCUGGUCAUGUGUGGGUUCAAACCGGCGUGGACGUCGCCACCGCCACGUGCGUGAUCGAGCUCUUCCAAGACCACCGGCAAUUCCAGCAGGUAGUACUGCUUUGUGGUGACGCCGACAUCUAUCCUGCAGUGCAGUACUGCAACACCCUCCGCCGUUCCUCGCACCAGCACGCUGACUCCAAUCCAGUCCGCGUCUGCGGCACUUCAGACUCCAUGUCGAAAAUGUACGGACAGCAGCAGGACCUCACGGACUUCCUGCCGCGUCUGCUGCUGGACCGUCCCUCGCACACGGAGGGCGGGCGCACGAUUGAGUUCCCUACCUCCAAAGUCUUCAUGUCUGUCCACUAAUACACAGAGCGUGUUGUCCCUUCUUCCUUGUUUUUUGUUUUGUUUGGGUUCGCAUUUUCUGACGUGUGUGUACGUGUGUGCCUCGUUACCCUUGUCUAUUGUCUCAUCUUGCUCUUUCAAUAAGCGCGCUGCCGAGUCCGUUCAACCCCCGAUCCCCCUUCACUUCUCACCGUCGCCAGGACUUUGCUUUCCGAGACGACUUGUCACUCACGCCGCCCGCCUCCACCCGGAUCCGUGUGCUUCUGUAGCCAGAAGGUGUCUGUGUGUGCAUAAAUUGUGGGCUGCCAUAGCCAGAAAUGCCCACACACAAGCACGAAAGCAAGUGCGGGACUGGAAGAGAUGGGCUACAUGAGCACCCCGCCUCCACGCGUUUCACUCCCUUGUGUUUCGUGUGCGUUCCAAUACAAUGGUUGACUUGCGCCUUUUGCCUCUGACGGCGUAUCUUGUGUUGUUGCCCCCUCUCCCUCUCCCUCUCCCUUGGCGUUGAUUUUCGAAUUCGGAAAAAAAAAGAAUAAACGGCACAUAUUUUUGUUUGUUGUUGCUGAUGACCAUGUGUACGUCUCCCCAUGCACCGUUUGUGUUUCGCUUUCGUCUUGUUGUUGGCGACUCCCUCUCCUGUGCGUGUGUGUUUGCGUGUAAAUGUUGGUACGCAUCGUUGGGUGUUGGGUGUCAAGGUUUAGCGCCUCUCUAUCUGUGGGGUUUUUCGGGGUUGCAGCUGUUAUGCAUUCCCUUAUUGUGCAAGCUCGAUCAGGAAGUGCGGGAGAGAUCGAGAGAGAAACAGUUUAAG